ACUCCUACGGGAGGCAGCAGUGGGGAAUAUUGCACAAUGGGCGCAAGCCUGAUGCAGCCAUGCCGCGUGUGUGAAGAAGCUUCCGUUCGGAUGUAAGCACUUUCAGUCGUGAGGAAGGUAGUGUAGUUAAUAGCUGCAUUAUUUGACGUUAGCGACAGAAGAAGCACCGGCUAACUCCGUGCCAGCAGCCGCGGUAAUACGGAGGGUGCGAGCGUUAAUCGGAAUUACUGGGCGUAAAGCGCAUGCAGGUGGUUUGUUAAGUCAGAUGUGAAAGCCCGGGGCUCAACCUCGGAAUUGCAUUUGAAACUGGCAGACUAGAGUACUGUAGAGGGGGGUAGAAUUUCAGGUGUAGCGGUGAAAUGCGUAGAGAUCUGAAGGAAUACCGGUGGCGAAGGCGGCCCCCUGGACAGAUACUGACACUCAGAUGCGAAAGCGUGGGGAGCAAACAGGAUUAGAUACCCUGGUAGGAUAGCGU
rnacentral:rRNA from 1 species